rnacentral:rRNA from 1 species
CAGCGCCACGAGUGGGAACUACAAUUAUUGGGCCUAAAACGUCCGUAGCCGGUUUAGUAAAUGCCUGGGUAAAUCGUGUAGCUUAACUAUACGACUUCCGGGUAGACUGCUAAACUUGAGACCGGGAGAGGCUAGAGGUACUCCUGGGGUAGAGGUGAAAUUCUGUAAUCCUAGGGGGACCACCAGUGGCGAAGGCGUCUAGCUAGAACGGGUCUGACGGUGAGGGACGAAGCCCUGGGGCACAAACCGGAUUAGAUACCCGAGUAGUCC